AGGCCAUCUAGAUAUCUAGCCAUUUACCGUUGGAGGAGGAGGACACACCUCAUGGCGUACUCACGACCGAAGCCGGCUUUUCUUUACCUGGCCUGCUGUUUCGUGCUCGUCUUCGCCUAGCUGCCGGCGCCCUGCUCCUCGCUUCCUCGCCACCAGGACCGGCUGGCGGCGGCGGGAUGCUAGGCGCAGUGCGGGAAAAGCCUAGGCCUGGUGCGCGUCGGCGGCGAGAAGGGGAAGCGGCGGACCGGCGUGAGCGAGGAGUGGAGGAAGUAGGGAAGGCAAGCUUGCCUCUUUUGCAUCGGCAGCCUCCCCGACGCGCUUCUCCGCCCCAUCGCUGCGCACAGCCGCGUUCGUCUUCGCCGACGCCAACCACCUCGACCUCGAAGCCCAACAACGUCUCAUCUCGGAUCCAGAGGCAACGGCGCAUCGGCAGUGUCCGGCCAGGAGGCUCCACCGGUGGCCCGCUGCUGUGCUGCAAGCGGCACGUCUCGGAGAGCCGGAGCGCGCGGCGCCGCUGCAGGCAUUGAGCAGGCGAGGCGACGUGGCAGCGAGGAUUCAUCCCCAGGUCACCACCAGAGCCCGUCACGGGUAAACUGUCUUCUCUCAUUAUCUCGUGACGGGGGAUGAAUUAGGCCAAAAGAAAAAGAAUAUGUAUGAUUCUAGAUCUUUCACACUGGUGUAAAAUUUACAUUUUGGAAGCGAAAGCUGAGCACCACAUGCUGGCGUUCUUGGCUGGUUUCUUUGUCUUCUUUUGUUCAUCGAGAACCAAGGAAGACAUACACAUGCAUGAUUGCACACGUGCUCCUUGGUACCUGGUGUUCCAGGUAAGAGGAGCUCUUCGUGGAUGCGAUGCGGUGGCAAAAGAGCUUUGGAAAGCCUACCGUGAGCAAAGGAGACAAUGUUAAGUUUUGUUCUUUUUC